GCGGAGGAAAAGAAACCAACAGGGAUUGCCCUAGUAACGGCGAGUGAAGCGGCAAUAGCUCAAAUUUGAAAGCUGGCCUCUGGUCCGCAUUGUAAUUUGUAGAGGAUGCUUUUAGGCAGCCGCCGGUCUAAGUUCCUUGGAACAGGACGUCAUAGAGGGUGAGAAUCCCGUAUGUGACCGGCUCAGGCACCUUCUGUAAAGCUCCUUCGACGAGUCGAGUUGUUUGGGAAUGCAGCUCUAAAUGGGAGGUAAAUUUCUUCUAAAGCUAAAUACUGGCGAGAGACCGAUAGCGCACAAGUAGAGUGAUCGAAAGAUGAAAAGCACUUUGGAAAGAGAGUUAAAAAGCACGUGAAAUUGUUGAAAGGGAAGCGCUUGCAAUCAGACUUGGCUUAGAUUGUUCAACCGGUCUUCUGACCGGCCUAUUCAUUCUGAGCCAGGCCAGCAUCAGUUUCGGCGGCCGGAUAAAGGCCUUGGGAAUGUGGCCCUCCCUUCGGGGUGGGUGUUAUAGCCCAGGGUGUAAUACGGCCAGCCGGGACUGAGGUCCGCGAUUCGUCUAGGAUGCUGGCGUAAUGGUUGUAAGCGGCCCGUCUUG
rnacentral:rRNA from 1 species